CCUAAGGUAGCGAAAUUCCUUGUCGGGUAAGUUCCGACCUGCACGAAUGGCGUAAUGAUGGCCAGGCUGUCUCCACCCGAGACUCAGUGAAAUUGAACUCGCUGUGAAGAUGCAGUGUACCCGCGGCAAGACGGAAAGACCCCGUGAACCUUUACUAUAGCUUGACACUGAACAUUGAGCCUUGAUGUGUAGGAUAGGUGGGAGGCUUUGAAGUGUGGACGCCAGUCUGCAUGGAGCCGACCUUGAAAUACCACCCUUUAAUGUUUGAUGUUCUAACGUUGACCCGUAAUCCGGGUUGCGGACAGUGUCUGGUGGGUAGUUUGACUGGGGCGGUCUCCUCCUAAAGAGUAACGGAGGAGCACGAAGGUUGGCUAAUCCUGGUCGGACAUCAGGAGGUUAGUGCAAUGGCAUAAGCCAGCUUGACUGCGAGCGUGACGGCGCGAGCAGGUGCGAAAGCAGGUCAUAGUGAUCCGGUGGUUCUGAAUGGAAGGGCCAUCGCUCAACGGAUAAAAGGUACUCCGGGGAUAACAGGCUGAUACCGCCCAAGAGUUCAUAUCGACGGCGGUGUUUGGCACCUCGAUGUCGGCUCAUCUCAUCCUGGGGCUGUAGCCGGUCCCAAGGGUAUGGCUGUUCGCCAUUUAAAGAGGUACGUGAGCUGGGUUUAAAACGUCGUGAGACAGUUUUGUCCCUAUCUGCCGUGGGCGCUGGAAGAUUGACGGGGGCUGUUCCUAGUACGAGAGGACCGGAAUGGACUCACCUCUGGUGUACCGGUUGUCACGCCAGUGGCACCGCCGGGUAGCUAUGUGGGGAAAGGAUAACCGCUGAAAGCAUCUAAGCGGGAAACCUGCCUGAAGAUAAGUCUUCCUGGAGGCUAGACCUCCCUGAAGAGUCGUUCGAGACCAGGACGUUGAUAGGUCGGGUGUGCAAGCGCUGCGAGGCGUUGAGCUGACCGAUACUAAUUGCUCGUGAAGCUUGAUCCU
rnacentral:rRNA from 1 species